rnacentral:lncRNA from 1 species
UACCAUUCUUCGAUAUUAUUACAAUCUCUUCCUCUUUUAUUAGAUCGCAAUACAUCACUACAGCCUAAACAUGGCACAUAGUAAUCGCGAUCCAACCACCUCUCGCCACGUGGCGGUAAUUGGAGCCGGAGCCGCCGGGCUCGUGACUGCUCGUGAGCUACGUCGUGAAGGCCACUCAGUGGUCGUGUUAGAGCGCGGGAGCCAGAUUGGUGGCGUGUGGACUUACACCUCUCAAGUGGAACCUGACCCGCUAAGCCUCGACCCAACCCGACCCGUAGUCCACUCGAGCGUUUACAAAUCCCUACGCACCAACAUCCCCCGAGAGUGCAUGGGUUUCACCGACUUCCCUUUUGCGGCCCGACCACACGACGGGUCAAGGGAUCCGAGAAGACAUCCGGGUCACAGUGAGGUUCUUGCUUACCUGCGAGACUUUGCUAAGGAAUUCGAUGUACAGGAGAUGAUAAGGUUCGAGACGGAGGUUGUUAGGGCGGAACCGGCGGCGGAUGAGGAGAAUAGAGGGAAGUGGAGGGUGGAGUCUAGACGCUCCGAUGGUGCUGCCGAUGAGAUAUACGACGCCGUCGUUGUUUGUAACGGACACUAUACAGAGCCACGUCAUGCUCAUAUCGCUGGUAAAUAACCAAACAACUCGUGUCCUGAGUUGAGUUUUUCACUUGUUUUUUUUGUUCUUUAUUUUAUUUGCUUAGUAUCUGUAUACAACAUCGAAAAUUAUAAUAGCCUUUUGAUCUGUUAAUAAUUAAAAAAAACUUUUUUCGAAUUACGUAUUUGUUACGAAAAAAAAAAACAGUAAGUAAAGAGAAUUAUGUUUGAAAACUAAUGUAUAAAUUUAAUUCUUAUUAAAAAAUGUUUACGUCAAUAUAAGCAUAGGGCCGGGACUUCGGAUAUUCGGUUCGGGUUCGGAUAAGAUCCGAUCGGGUCCGGGUUUUUCGGAUAAAUGAAUUCUAUACCCAAUGGGUACUUAGUAAAUUUCGGUUCGGGUUUCGGAUCGGGUACUACCGGUUUCGGGUCGGUUCCGGGUACCCGUUUCUUAUGUGAAUUAUAUAAAUAUUUACAAAAUAAAAUAAUUAUAUACCAGUUUUUUAUUUAUUUAUUUUAUUUUUUUAAAAAAAGUUAAUAGAAAUCGUAUAUAUAUUAGUAAUAUGUAUUAAAUACAACGAAGUUGAACUAGUCUAGUGGUAUUGCAGUUGUUGCUUUGCCUAUCCAACCCGGGUUCAACCCUCGAAAGAUACAAAUCUAUGUUUUUUAAGCAUAGAAUUCGGGUUAAACGGGUACCCGUUUAUAACCUGAGGGGUAGAUGAAACUUUGGAAAGUUGAAGAAAGUUUGAUGUGAUCAGUGGUCGUGGGUUUCAGUGUUUUGUCCAAAAAGACGAAAGUGUCCAUACAGGAAGAUAAAAGAGAGACGUCGCUUCCAUUUUUUUUUUCAAACUACUUUGGUAAUUGAUUUGUCUGCAACUUGAUGGAUAUUUUUCAUUCUUGGCGUCUAUCAUUUUCAAAGAACAAUAACGUAGACGAUUCAUAUUUGCCGGCUCUUUGUAGCUUUACUAAUUUUAUAAUAAUAUCAUGUACGAGAAAAGAAAAAAAGGGUUUGUAACCUAAUUGAAUUUGUAGAUAAUGUAAGAAGAAGCUGCUUCUCCAUUUUCCCGACGAAAUAAGUCGAUCUCUUGCUUGAAAGGGGGAGAUUAGAUGGAUGUAUUCGAGAAUGAUGUGAUAAUCAUAUAGAUUUUAAGAAAUCAUUGACGUUGAUACUGCAUAAAACCUCAAAUUAUUCCUUCUAUUAAUUAGUAUAUAUAUAUAUAUAUAUAUAUAUAUUCUUGUUUAUUUAUAUCUAAUCGGGUAUUUUUAAAAAUAUCUAAUCGAACUUUCAAAUGAUCAUCAGAAUUUAGAAAAAAAUUAAACUUCGUACUAAGAAAAUAAGAACCUGGAUUUUCUUAAUUUGUAAUCAUACUUUUACAGGAAACAUGUUACGAGAGAACAAAGAACUAUAGUUUCCAAGAGAAUUAAACAUUGAUCGGGUACACUAGCCUGAAAAUAUUGUGAAUAAAAACAGUAGGUCCCAUCAGCCAACUGCAAACAAAAUUAACUCUUCUAAAUCAUUUAUAAAUAUUUAAAAAUUAUUUAUUAAAUUUUAUAAACCUAAUCCCACUCACUAAACUAUAAACCCAUAAACAAUAAUCACUAAACUGUAAAUACAAAUGUUAGAAUAUUUUUGAUCGAAUAUAUUUUGAAAAGCGCUGGCUAUUCAAUGUAUUCCAUUUCGUGCAAUUUUUCUAAUAUGAUGUGCAUAGUGGUAUGGAUAUUUUAUAAUGAAUAGUUAUCCACAUAACUAUUACAAUAGCAGGUAAUUUAUUCGAAAGAUAUACUUCAUUAUUAAUAGAAAAGCUUACCUUUUUGAAAUGCUAUGUUGAAUAGUAAACAUGAUCCUGGACAUUGUUAGUUGUUGGAUGCAUUAGUCUGCACGCACUUCAAAAGAAGUAGCCAAAAAGGUUAUUUAAACUGAAUCUUUAAAGAUAAGUAUAACUUCUUUAGUUAUAAAAUUUAAGCAUUGCGGAAGCAAAUUUGCAUUAUAUCUCUUAUGGAAAUACCAUAAGAUGUAAUUGCAGGGUUUUCUGCUUGAAGUAUUAAUUCUUAGUUACUGCAUGUUGGAUCGCCUAUCAUGAUUAUGUGCGCUGUUCACAAUAUCAGCCGUCUGUAGAUGAAUAGAUAAGAGUAUUAGUCAUCAUUUACAAUAGUCUGCCUACAAAUAAAAUUAUGAUAAAAGGAGAGUAUAAUAAUAAGCUAUAUCCAAUUGUAUCUGCAACACAAUUAAGUUUUUUUCAAACACCAAUUCAAAAUGAAUACAAUGUCAUAUUGUCAUGUCAUCUAUAACACACCAGAUAUAGAAGCAGAGAGAAUAAACAAUGAAAUUCUUUUGAUCAAUGAUUGAGAACUUAUGUUUUAACUAUUUUAAACUAAAGCAGUUAUAAUUCGUAAUCCAAUCCAGUUUAGCCAGUGAUAUAAACGAAAACGCUAGAUUCUCUUAUAGACAUGCAUGGUUGAAGCAAUGCUACCUACUUAAUUGAAUUAAAUAUUUGUUUUGCUAAAAGAUAAACUGAAUUUAAUAUUCACACAAGAUAUUAUGUAAGAAUUGUCUACACUGAACUGACACGUCAUCAUUUAAGGUACAUAUUUUCCUCCUUUAUAAAUUACUCAUCGUUAUACUUAAAACACGUACCAUUCUUCGAUAUUAUUACAAUCUCUUCCUCUUUUAUUAGAUCGCAAUACAUCACUACAGCCUAAACAUGGCACAUAGUAAUCGCGAUCCAACCACCUCUCGCCACGUGGCGGUAAUUGGAGCCGGAGCCGCCGGGCUCGUGACUGCUCGUGAGCUACGUCGUGAAGGCCACUCAGUGGUCGUGUUAGAGCGCGGGAGCCAGAUUGGUGGCGUGUGGACUUACACCUCUCAAGUGGAACCUGACCCGCUAAGCCUCGACCCAACCCGACCCGUAGUCCACUCGAGCGUUUACAAAUCCCUACGCACCAACAUCCCCCGAGAGUGCAUGGGUUUCACCGACUUCCCUUUUGCGGCCCGACCACACGACGGGUCA